CAAAGGCUUGGUCCUGACUUUUCUGUCAGCUUUAGCUAAACUUACACAUGCAAGUAUCCGCACUCCCGUGAGAAUGCCCUACAGUUCCCUGCCCGGGAACAAGGAGCUGGUAUCAGGCACAUCCCUUCAAGCCUACGACACCUUGCUAAGCCACACCCCCAAGGGAACUCAGCAGUGACAAACAUUAAGCUAUAAGUGAAAACUUGACUUAGCCAAAGCUAAGAGGGCCGGUAAAACUCGUGCCAGCCACCGCGGUUAUACGAGAGGCCCGAGUUGACAGACAACGGCGUAAAGUGUGGUUAGGAAAGACUAUAAACUAAAGCCAAAUGCUUUCAAGGCUGUUAUACGCACCCGAAAGCAAGAAGCCCAACUACGAAAGUGGCUUUACAACUUCUGAACCCACGAAAGCUAGGACACAAACUGGGAUUAGAUACCCCACUAUGCCUAGCCCUAAACAUUGAUAGCACAUUACACCCGCUAUCCGCCUGGGAACUACGAGCGUUAGCUUAAAACCCAAAGGACUUGGCGGUGCUUAAGAUCCACCUAGAGGAGCCUGUUCUAGAACCGAUGACCCCCGUUCAACCUCACCCUCCCUUGCUCUUCCCGCCUAUAUACCGCCGUCGUCAGCUUACCCUGUAAAGGCCCCAUAGUAAGCAAAACUGGUACAACCUAAAACGUCAGGUCGAGGUGUAGCGCAUGAGAGGGGAAGAAAUGGGCUACAUUCCCUAAUAUAGGGAAUACGGACAAUGCACUGAAACGUGCAUUUAAAGGAGGAUUUAGUAGUAAGCAAAAAAUAGAGCGUUUUGCUGAAACCGGCCCUAAAGCGCGCACACACCGCCCGUCACUCUCCCCGAGCUAAAAUCUCACACAUACCUAAUACACCCCACCUGCAAAGGGGAGGCAAGUCGUAACAUGGUAAGUGUACCGGAAGGUGCACUUGGAAAAAC
rnacentral:ncRNA from 1 species